rnacentral:rRNA from 1 species
GAUGAACGCUGGCGGCGUGCCUAAUACAUGCAAGUCGAGCGAACGGACGAGAAGCUUGCUUCUCUGAUGUUAGCGGCGGACGGGUGAGUAACACGUGGAUAACCUACCUAUAAGACUGGGAUAACUUCGGGAAACCGGAGCUAAUACCGGAUAAUAUUUUGAACCGCAUGGUUCAAAAGUGAAAGACGGUCUUGCUGUCACUUAUAGAUGGAUCCGCGCUGCAUUAGCUAGUUGGUAAGGUAACGGCUCACCAAGGCAACGAUGCAUAGCCGACCUGAGAGGGUGAUCGGCCACACUGGAACUGAGACACGGUCCAGACUCCUACGGGAGGCAGCAGUAGGGAAUCUUCCGCAAUGGGCGAAAGCCUGACGGAGCAACGCCGCGUGAGUGAUGAAGGCCUUCGGAUCGUAAAACUCUGUUAUUAGGGAAGAACAUAUGUGUAAGUAACUGUGCACAUCUUGACGGUACCUAAUCAGAAAGCCACGGCUAACUACGUG